GGGCCGUUAGCUCAGUAGGUAGAGCAUCUGCCUUUUAAGCAGAGGGUCACAGGUUCGAAUCCUGUACGGCUCACCA
rnacentral:tRNA from 1 species